ensembl:lncRNA
AGUGACCCACACCGGAGGCGGGUAGUUAAAGGCUGGUCUUUCUGUCUCGGUGUUUACGGACUCUUCAAAGACCGCCCGUGAUAGCACCGACUGACUUGGGCAGUGGCCCACCCGGGUGGCCGUGUGUGAGACUCAAGGAAGCCGAGCGGCAGAAGACCAAUAUAUCGGUGAUGCUGGCCCACGAACUCUAAGGACAGCUCCUGAAGAGGAGGGGGCGCCAGACGGAGGCUUCCACGUGAUUCCUGGACAAAUCUGUUUCCCCACAGAUGGUAGUGUUAAAUCGUCUAAAACAGACUCUGCACACCCCAGCUAUAGGUGCUCCCUAGCGCUCUGCAUCCCUGGGUGGCGCCUCCUUGGACUUCAGAUGUAAGCUGUCUGAUCCCUUGGACUUCAGAUGUAAGCUGUCUGAUACAUGUUCACGCAGCCUUCUCCCGAGCCCACUAACGUCUAAUGAUACGAUCUCAAUAAAAUACUUAAGAAAUAAACCAAAGCUAACGUCCUUUGAUGAAAGAGGGAAAAUUACAACGUCCCAGAGUGUGUUUAAUGCAAACAAGGGAAGACGUCUUGGCAAACCCUUCAGUGGAUUUUAUCUCCGUUUACCAUGUGUCCUCAUUAUCUGAACUGUAAUCUGCAUAUACGUUGGAUAUGAAAGUAAACCGCUUUUGAAGGUUUGCGAAUAAACUCUUCCUAAAGCUUGAUCACUCUUUUAUUAACUGAUAUUUACACUAAUAAAAACAUUACGUGCUUCAAUUCAAACCAAAAAGAGAGCUAACAAUAGCACUUAAAAUGGAUGAAAAGGUCAAAACUCUUAAAGGUUAUAGCU